rnacentral:rRNA from 1 species
UACGGGGGGGCAAGCGUUGUUCGGAAUUACUGGGCGUAAAGGGCUCGUAGGUGGCCAACUAAGUCAGACGUGAAAUCCCUCAGCUUAACUGGGGAACUGCGUCUGAUACUGGAUGGCUUGAGUUUGGGAGAGGGAUGCGGAAUUCCAGGUGUAGCGGUGAAAUGCGUAGAUAUCUGGAGGAACACCGGUGGCGAAGGCGGCAUCCUGGACCAACACUGACACUGAGGAGCGAAAUCCAGGGGAGCAAACGGG